rnacentral:lncRNA from 1 species
GUACAUCUAUUAUACAUGCAGGACCAUAGAACUAUUGUUGUCCCCAAACUAAAGAAAAUAUGAAAGAAACUAUACCAGCAUGAAGCAAUGUUGCUAGGCCCCUCACAAGCAACAACUGUAGUACUAAUUAAUAGGCUAUGGAUACAAAGAAGCUGGAAACAAGAACGGAUAAAAAUCUGAGACGGGAGACAGGAAAAGAACAUGAAAACUUGCCCUUGCGAAAUCUUUUUCUAGCUCUUUAACGCUUGAUAACACCACACGAGUCUGUAUCAUUGGUGCCACGUGCCUCAAUAUCGUCCUGAACUUGAUGUAAUAGAAUUAUCGAAUGAGCACAAUGAAUCAGCCUACCAGAGAAUUAGAGCAUAUGAUGGCAUUAAUAUUCUGCAACUAAUUUUUUGAAAAACAAUGGCAAGCUUUGAAUAACCCCGAACAGAGGAUGGAAACUUUGUUCCUUGAGGUAGGAUCAAAGACCACCAUAUAACUAAGACCAUUAGUUUAUGACUGAAUUAUGAAGAUAAGAAACAUGCUUGUCCUUAUUAUAAUUUUCAUUUUCUUAAGAAGCUUAAUUUCAAAACAUGCGCACUUGCCAGAAAACACAGAAAAUAAUAACCGUAAACCAGUCACAGUACAAUUAAAACCAUGAUAACCUUUAGCAUAUAUAGCAAACUUAGAAGGUCAAUUAGAUUUUGGACAUAAAAUGGGCAAGAGCCCAUAUUAGAGGCUACCUAAUUAAACUCCUAGAGAUUGUAUAGAAAAAUUGAACUCCUCACUACCCAUAUUAGAGGCCACCUGCAGUCCGUCCUAGGUAAAGCAUGUUGUGUGGCAGCCCGUGCUGCUCCUGUCAAGAGCAGGCAUGAAUGGAGAGACAACGCACAACAGCGACGCAAACUCAGGCGGGAGAUAGCAAUAGGGAGGGACUCUGAAAACAGAGAGAUAAAUAUGGCGGCAAUCUGCUCGCGAUCCGGAAUCACGCCGCGCAGUGGCAUCCGGUCCAGAUCUUGGGGAGGCGUUGUCCUGCGGGAAGACAAGAAUAGGCAGCCGGCCGAUCACCAGAUAUUACAUACUAUGAUUUGCUUUAACAAGGGGACAAAUAGUUUAAUUAGUGAUCAACUAACAAGAAUCUAAACAAUCUAUGGCAUUCAUCUCCUAAGACACAUCCAACAGUUGUGAAGAAGUAGUUACAUCAGGGCGAGGAUAGGAACAAGGACUGGGAGAGAAUGAGGAACAUACCUAGUACAAAUCCAAUCUCACUUCCUUCUUUCUCAUUGUUAAUUACCAGCAUUGCCAUCAG